rnacentral:snRNA from 1 species
AAAUCUCGACUUCUAGUUGCUUUGAUCAAGUGUAGUAUCUGUUCUGUUUAGUUUAAUCGCUGAACGAGGCUACGGCCUUGCUGAAUGAUUAAUCCUAUUUUUGCUUCUGCUGGAGUCCUCUGGGCUUGCCUAUGACUCCAGCAAGUGUCGACCGACUUUCACUACUUCGGUUUGACGCGCAGGCUUU